rnacentral:lncRNA from 1 species
GCGGCCGCGAGGCCCGCCGGCCGGCUAGGAGCUACGCCCGGACGGCCAGCAGGCUCGCGGGAGUGGGGCGGCCGCGGCUGAGGCGAGGCGGGCCGCGCGCGUCGGCGUCAGAGCCCGCGGCAGAGGCGCCCAGGGCGGCCGGGCCCACGACGCCGAAAGCGCCGCUGCGGUUGCCGCCUCGGAGGCUCCCCCGGGCCCCGGCGGCUGGACCCGGCGCGGGCGGGAGCCUCGGGCGGGCGGUCUGGCCCGGGACUCGGGUUUGGGCGACCAGGAGGCGCCGGUGGCCGCGCUCGGACCCGGUUCUCCAACGGAGGAGCUUUUUAACCUCUUUCCGCCGAUUCUGAAACGGCUGCAGUGAUAACAUGCGAAGGUGACUUAAGAGGUUAAAAUUAAUUUGGUUGCUGAUGGUUCUGAACAAAUAGAGUUCUUUUAUUUGAGGUAUGCCAUUUUGAAGACUGAGACAUUGGAGUUUUAUCCUAGAGGAUAAAGGAAAUCUUUGGGAAAGUCAGUAUUUUAUAUAGCAAAAAUAUGAACCUCAAACUGAAUCCUCUAAG